ACUUUACUGGCAGGAUUCUGGGAAGCGCAGUGCCAGCCAAGGGAGAUUGUUACGUGUAGUUACUGAGAAGUGAUUACACAACUCCAAACACUGUAAAUAACGCUGAUUUUCUUUCCUGCGUAUUCCAGUGGGGUUCAAAAACAGCAAAAAUGUGAACCGUCUCUGGGGGACUGUAUAGCACGGCAUGCUGCAUUUGGACAUUUAGAAGUAUAUUUAUAAGAAACUGGCAGAUACAACUAAGCACGUUUAUGCAAAUAUCAGCUGUCAGACAAUAACUACUGAUGAAACCACAGAUUUCAAGCACUCGCUACAGCUGAUGUGACUGCAUGGGCAGGACAACCCUGCAGCAAAUAUACAUAUUGCAUUCAGUGCUGCGGUGGGGAAAAGGCAAUGGAGAGGAGGAUGAGCAGGAUCAGCAGGCCAAACACAGUCUGUCUCUGCUGCCAGAGCCUGGAUGAAGAAGGAACGAAUGAAGGUGGACAAACUUGAGACGGAAGUUGGUGGAAAACAAAGCAGAAAGACAAUGUUUAGCAGGGGAAUGAAAGUAUGACGCCAGAGGGAUCGUCAACAAGGAAGUGUUAGUGAAAGAAAAGGAUUUCAACUUUGGACAAGAGAGACAUCUGUUGGAAGCUAAUCAAAUCACUGCAGCUCUUCACCCAUACGAGGCCGUGUUUCCAGAUGGGGAACAGAUCCGAGCAUAUACAGCCUAUAAAAGCAUGUGCUCGGCCAUAAGUGCGUUACUUUCACCUCAUUAACAUGUGUGCAGGGGAGAAAAUAUUAGAGGAACUUUAUACAGAACAGAGCAGAAACUUUUGUCGCGACAGCAGCAAAGACUGAUAUUUAUGGACUUUGAAAAACAAGAGAUACGUUAUUGUACACUCAGCUUCGCUGUGGACUGACGAAAUUAAUAGUUUAAAAAGAUCA